UUGGUACCCUCUAGUAUCCUGUUGUCCUCCAGUACUCCAUGCUCAUGCAUCCGAUGCAUCUACAUCCACUGCCACCAUAAUGGAUCUCUUAUGCACUAUGCUGUAUGCAUCGUCCCUGCACCCUGCAUGCCUCCACCACCAAGAAACUCGAAGCCUGCAUCCUUUAAGAUAUUCUCUUUGGUCUGAUACUCCAUAGCCUCCA
rnacentral:lncRNA from 1 species